rnacentral:rRNA from 1 species
GAUGAACGCUGGCGGCGUGCCUAAUACAUGCAAGUCGAGCGAACGGACGAGAAGCUUGCUUCUCUGAUGUUAGCGGCGGACGGGUGAGUAACACGUGGAUAACCUACCUAUAAGACUGGGAUAACUUCGGGAAACCGGAGCUAAUACCGGAUAAUAUUUUGAACCGCAUGGUUCAAAAGUAAAAGACGGUCUUGCUGUCACUUAUAGAUGGAUCCGCGCUGCAUUAGCUAGUUGGUAAGGUAACGGCUUACCAAGGCAACGAUGCAUAGCCGACCUGAGAGGGUGAUCGGCCACACUGGAACUGAGACACGGUCCAGACUCCUACGGGAGGCAGCAGUAGGGAAUCUUCCGCAAUGGGCGAAAGCCUGACGGAGCAACGCCGCGUGAGUGAUGAAGGUCUUCGGAUCGUAAAACCCUGUUAUUAGGGAAGAACAUAUGUGUAAGUAACUGUGCACAUCUUGACGGUACCUAAUCAGAAAGCCACGGCUAACUACGUG